GGACUCAAACCUGAAGAAUGUUG
rnacentral:siRNA from 1 species